rnacentral:rRNA from 1 species
GACGAACGCUGGCGGCGUGCUUAACACAUGCAAGUCGAACGGAAAGGCCCCUUUGGGGGUACUCGAGUGGCGAACGGGUGAGUAACACGUGAGUAACCUGCCCUUGACUUCGGGAUAACUUCAGGAAACUGGGGCUAAUACCGGAUAGGAAUCCUUGCUGCAUGGUGGGGGUUGAAAGCUUCGGCGGUUUUGGAUGGACUCGCGGCUUAUCAGCUUGUUGGUGGGGUAGUGGCUUACCAAGGCUUUGACGGGUAGCCGGCCUGAGAGGGCGACCGGCCACAUUGGGACUGAGAUACGGCCCAGACUCCUACGGGAGGCAGCAGUGGGGAAUAUUGCACAAUGGGCGGAAGCCUGAUGCAGCAACGCCGCGUGCGGGAUGACGGCCUUCGGGUUGUAAACCGCUUUCAGCAGGGGCGAAGCUUGUGGUGACGGUACCUGCAGAAGAAGCACCGGCUAACUACGUG